rnacentral:lncRNA from 1 species
GGGCGGGACAGGCGGCGGCGCGCGGGCUCAGGGUCCGGCAGCGGCGACAGUGGUGGCCACGGCUCCUUAUCCCUGCGGCUGCUUGCGUGCGGGCCAGCCGGUCCGCGCGUCCCUCGGUGUGUUUCCGCCGGCCGGCCGAGCGGGCCAAGCCCGCGUGGGGAGCACCCGCCGGCCGCAUGGCCGCCAUCAAAGCGCUGCAGCUGUGGUGCCGGCAGCAGUGCGAGGGGUACCGCGACGUGAACAUCACCAACAUGACCACGUCGUUCCGCGACGGCCUGGCCUUCUGCGCCAUCCUGCACCGCCACAGACCUGACCUCAUGUGAGUGAGGCUUGCCCUGGGCUGGGGCAAGGCUGGGGGAGUCAGAACUCAAGGGCAUGCCCGGGAGAUGGGCCACCUGGGACUGGGAAGGGCAGGCAUCCACAGCACAGCCCACCCCCGCCGAGGCUGCACCCAGCGGCCUCAGUGCGCCGUCCAUCAAGGGCAGCUGGGCCACGGCCAGAACAGCCGCCGGCUUAGUCAGUGGUGACUCAGGGCAGUGUCCUGGGCCCCAUUUGCCACCCCCCUCCCUGGGAAAGACCCAGCAGAGCUACCCCUUUGGGCCCUCUGGGACUGGAUACUCCCCUGGGGUCUGCAACAAGUCCCUGGCCCUUCCAGGCAUCUAGUGCAGGUGCUGCCCCUGUCCCCAGCCUGCUCAGGCUCCUGGGAAUACAGUCCAGCAUCACUGCCCAGAGGGGCAAUCAGAGCAGAAAGCCCUGAGACCCCACAUCCUGUUGGCAGGCCUCUGCAUCCUGGGGUGAUGGGGACAUGAGGAGACUGGGUCCCUGUUCCUGGGAACUACAGGAGGUGGGCAGGCCCUCUCUCCCAGGAGGGUCUUGGCAUGGGUGGCUGGGAGUCUGGCCCUGCCUUGCUGUUGGAUCUUGGCCCUCGCUGAAUCUGUUCCAUCAGUUAUUCACUCAGCAAAUGCUCUUUGGCUGAAUGGCCGGACCAGGGCUGGGGUGCGGGUGUGUUUGCCAGGGAGGUCUUGGGGGCUGGCUGAGGCCAGAGGCAGCACCUUCUGGAUCCGGCCUCAGGCUCCCUGCUGUGCACACAGGGAAACUGAGGCGGAGGGAGGCGGGCCCUUGCCAGGUCACACAGCACACAGGCUGAGCCAGGGCUGGCACCCUGCUCUUCCCCUGUACCAAGCUUUGCUUUCCCCAGGAAGCUGGGAGUCUUGAGCAAGAGGCUGUGGCUCCUGCCCAAGGUUGUGAUGUACUUUUGUGGAGCUGCCCAGGGGAUCUCUGUGGGGCACGUUGCAGCCUCUGCUCCCUGCCCAGGCAUGAGCCUCAUUGCCCUUGGAGGUGGAGAUGUUUCUACGGUGUGGAGAGCCUGAGGCUGAGCUUUGAUGGCCAGUGGGCCACGGGCAUGGUGGCUGGGAGAGGGACCUGGAGUGGGGAGGCUGCAGGCUGAGCCCCACUGGGGGUCAAGGGUAAAGCUGGCUGGAGA